rnacentral:lncRNA from 1 species
CCACAACAGACCAAAAUGACAUAGAAAUUAACAAUUACAGGUCACCGCACAACCUUCAACAAUAAGCAAAGCUAAUACAGCAUAGUCGGCUAUAAAAGGUCUCGAAAUGACAAUGUAAAACAAUUCAAAGGAGAAAAAUAACAGGCUUAUUUAUGUACAAAAAAUAAAGAAAAAACGAAUAUGUAACACAUAAACAAACGACAACCACUGAAUUACAGGCUCCUUAUAUCAUGUUCUCAGAUAUC